rnacentral:rRNA from 1 species
UGCGUAGGUGGUAUGGCAAGUCAGAAGUGAAAACACGGGGCUCAACCCCGUGACUGCUUUUGAAACUGUCAGACUAGAGUACAGGAGAGGCAAGCGGAAUUCCUAGUGUAGCGGUGAAAUGCGUAGAUAUUAGGAGGAACACCAGUGGCGAAGGCGGCUUGCUGGACUGGUACUGACACUGAGGCACGAAAGCGUGGGGAGCAAACA